rnacentral:scRNA from 1 species
GGGGUUGGGGAUUUAGCUCAGUGGUAGAGCGCUUGCCUAGGAAGCGCAAGGCCCUGGGUUCGGUCCCCAGCUCCAGAAAAAAAAAAAGAACGAGAAAAAAAAAAAAAAAAAAU